AGCUUUUGGGUAUCAUUUUUGGCCCCCAGACAGGACACCUCUGCCUGAUCUCCCGCGGAUCCGAGGGAUCUCUGGAUCUUCACGCCAGCACCAGGACUUUGCUGCAGAAGAGCACAGAUCCCCAGCCCAGUCUGGGACACAGAACCUGUGAAAGGGCAGAAAGAUUGUGGUGUGAAUGCAGCGCCCUCAGAGCCCUUGGUGUGAGCCCGGAAAGGAAAAUCAAGCUGAGGGACAAGAUCAGUCUAAUUUGGGGACAUUGUUGGAGGCUGGAGUUGCAGUUCUGGAAGAAAUCCCUGAGGAAAUGGUGCCCCUGGGGAGAGGAAGAGGACGAGAGCAUGGGCAGCCUGCUUCAAACAUCCCCCCAGGAGACCUGGGAUCAGUCCCUGUGCAUCCUGUAAGAAAGAUGGACACUGGAAAUGGGAUUGUCCGCAACUGAAACUUCAGAACCCUCCGAACCCUCUCGUGGCAUCACUGAAGACGACUGAGGGGGCACCAGAGGAUUCUUCCCCAUCAGAACAUCUGGUUCCAGCCAAGCUAAGCACAAUUGUUUGUGGCUGUGGGAACUUGUUCCUCUGUGUUAAAUCCAGGGAAAUGAAACUCAAGGGACAUUCUAGAACAAUUGUCUGGUGUGCCAGGGAAUUGGGAAACUGGGCCAUUUUUAAUGCUGUGGCUUUGAAACUGGGAAAACAGUGGUCGACUCCCCAGUUUUUGUAUUUCCCCAAUUCCCCAAAGCCUCUGCUUGGGAGAGAUCUCUUGGCAAAAUGAAAUGCCACAAUCCCAUUGAAAAAUGGUCCAAUAUAGGUUAUUAUUGCAGAGCCUAAUUCUGGGGAAGUUUCUAGUUUUGCAUGAGAGUCUCCAGAAGCAGAAGUAAUCCAUCUGCCACCAUCACUUGGGGAUGCAGUGGUUCCAACAGGAUGGGCUGGAGAGGUGCCUCCAUGAUCCAAGAGAGCAGAACCCGUGAGAAUUCCAGAGAAACCUGGAGUGGGGUUGGUGAGGCCAAAGCAAUGUCCUUUGCAAAUAGAAAGUUGUAAGGGAUUCUCACCCUUUGUAGAACAAUUGAUGAAAUUUUGCUUGUGAAAAGAAUGUGAAUCUAAAUGGAAUGCUCCAGUUUUGCCAGUCAAGCAGGCAAAUGGAAGGCUAUGCCAGUUAGUCCAAGACCUUAGAGCUGUAAAGAACAGAGUAGAAGAUAUACAAGCAGUCGUAGCGAGUCCUUACACUUUGCUCACUCCCCUAAAUGAGAGUUUAAUAUGUUUCACAGGAUUAGGUUUGAAAGCUGCCUUUUUGUGUCUCCCUUUGAGUUGGGAAAGUCAAGAGCUUUUUGCUUUCCAAUGGGAAAAUGCAAAGCUGGGGAGGAAAACCCAUCUGACUUUGGUGGUCCUCUUGCAGGGGUUUAAAAAUAGCCCCCCAAUAUUUGGAACUCAAUUGGCAAAGGGACUGGAGGAAUGGAGAAGUCCAAACCCACCCUCUUGGAGCCUUAUUGCAGGGUGUGGAUGAUCUUUUGAUAGCCACUGAUGCUGAGCAGCAACGUUGGGGUCAGACUGUGGCCCUGUGGAAUUUCCUUGGGCUGAGUGGAUAUGGGGUAUCCCAAACACAAAGUGCAAGUAGUCCAGAGCCCAGGAGCCUCCGUGGGCUUUGGAAUUCUCCAAGGACAAGGGAGGCUGGGCCAGGAAGGAAAAAAGCAACCUGUCAACUGCCCCAGCCCCAGCAAAGGAAGCCCAGAGCGGGAUUGCUUCCAGACUAGAGGGAAAGUGUAUUGGGGCAGAGCUGACUUAGGAGACAGCCCCUUGGAAAGUCCUGGUUGGGAUUGUUUCCCAGGGGGGGCAGCUUUGUCCGGCAUGGAAAACAAUUCUCUGGAUGCACAGAACUCCCCCCCACCAGGUCAGAGAUCCUGACAGAGAUCCUUCUCCCAGUAGAAGAAAAUGAGUCUAGUGCUAAGGAUUGUCAACUCCUUGAAACCUUAGAGCAAACUUUGCUCCAGGAGGCUGGGCAGUUCCCCCAAGUGGGCAAAUAAUAGUCCCUGAGCCAAUCUCCUGUGACCUGGUGGAUGGGGAACAUGAGGGUAUUCCUUGGAGUGAAGCAAAUUAUUGAAACAUUUGCCCAAGUGGGUUCUUGGUCCAAAACUGACCCCAGUUGUACAAGCAGUGAGUCAGCAGUGUGGUGUGUGGAAGAGAAAUAAUCCAAACCCUGCCAGUGGAGUGGGAACAGGUGAUGGAAAAUGCAGAAAUGCUGCAGGUGAAUGUUGGCAGAUGGAUGUGACUGAAUUGCCCAGAAAAGUGGGGUGUAAAGGUCUCCUAGUCUUGGGGGAUACCUUCUCUGGGUGGCCAGAGGCUGUUUCUUGUUGCACUAAGCAGGUUGGGAAAGAAACUGCAAUCCUGUUCAGUGCAAUCCUCCCUGUAUUUGGGAUGCCUUUGGGAAUGUCAUCAGACAGAGGUUCCCACUUGACUGCAGAAACAAAAUGCUUCACUCUUGUUUUGCUCUUCUGACAACAGUUCAAACACUGUUGACGUGGGAGGAAAAUUUACAUGUCUUUUUAGUGCCAAAGGUGAUCCAAGUGUUGCCCACAAGUGUCUGUAUUAAGUAAGCAAGACUCUGUAAUGAAUCUGGAAACUGUGUGUGUAAUGUAAAGCCCUGUGUGGCUGUCACUGAGGUGCUGAGGCUGAACAACAGCCCCUGAGCCAAAGCUGAGCUCUAGAUGAACCUUCCAACCUAAUGGGCUGUGUCUCCAUGUAUCUGCUCCUGAGCUAAAACUGGGUCUAUUUGUUGGUACAAAUGUGGUGGGAUGGGACUCCACCUGUGUAUCUGCUCCUGAACCAAACAGGUGUGCUUCUUAGGAAGAUCUGUUAGUCUGGGCUCAUCAGUGAAUCCUGUUUGUAUCUGUUCCUUAACAAAAUAGGUCUGAUUGUGAGCAAAAUCUGAUCUUUCUGUAUCUAGAGAGUGGUGGAGGCCAUGGCAGUCGAUGUCUGUCCUUGUUUGGCAGUGGCUGGUGCAGGGGGAGCCUUGGUUUGGGAGAAGUAGAACAUUGCUGCCAAGAUUCUGCUCUGGCCAAAUAAGGAACAGUAGAAUCUUAGAGAAGUCCUGGAGAAUUGGAUCAGGGCUGGAACUCAAGCAAACAGGAUGUGAGCUGAGCUCUGGGGACCCAGAGAAGAUCAAACCAAACAUGACGGUCUCUGGGGGGAAAACCAGUGAUGCUGAGAACCGAGGUCAAGAAGCAGACACCUGAGCUUUGGGGGGCACCAGAUGCCAAAAAACCCACCAGAGACCCCCAGAGAAGACCCCAAAUGACCAAAUAGGGACUUGCAAUAGGGGUGUGACUGUGUAAAGCACAGUAAUGGACAUGUGUUCAGUAAGGGGGAAUAUCCAAUGCCUCUGGAAUCAGUGGGUGUAAUCCCAAGCCCUGCCUGUGUCCCUGAGCAGGCUGGAUUAGAAGAACUCUCCUGCAGGCGUCCAGCACGCUGCCCUAAAGAAUGCCUGCUUCUUAACACCUCCCAGCUGGGGUUAAGGACUUGCUUUCUGCUGCUUUUGGAGACCAUUUCUGGCCCCAGAUGGGACCCUCUGCCUGAUCUCCCGUGGAUCCGAGGGAUCUCUGGAUCUUCACGCCGGCCUCAGGACUUUCCUGGAGAAGACCACAGAUCCCUGGACUGGUCUGGGAUGGGGGAAGAUCCCACUGGAUAAUAAGGCAUUCUUUUGGGGAAUCCUGUCCCUCUAAGACGUGUGGAUCUUCCAGCUCUUUGGGUGGGUUAUUUGGUGUCCCCCCAUUUGGUCUCUGGCUUUGUUUUCUCCACUGAUCCUUGUUUUGUGUUUGUAUUUGUUUCUGCACUGUAACAUUUGCCCAAGUGGGUUCUUGGUCCAAAACUGACCCCAGUUGUACAA